rnacentral:rRNA from 1 species
AACGAACGCUGGCGGCAGGCUUAACACAUGCAAGUCGAGCGCCCCGCAAGGGGAGCGGCAGACGGGUGAGUAACGCGUGGGAAUCUACCCAUCUCUACGGAAUAACGCAUGGAAACGUGUGCUAAUACCGUAUACGUCCUUCGGGAGAAAGAUUUAUCGGAGAUGGAUGAGCCCGCGUUGGAUUAGCUAGUUGGUGGGGGAAAGGCCUACCAAGGCGACGAUCCAUAGCUGGUCUGGGAGGAUGAUCAGCCACACUGGGACUGAGACACGGCCCAGACUCCUACGGGAGGCAGCAGUGAGGAAUAUUGGACAAUGGGCGCAAGCCUGAUCCAGCCAUGCCGCGUGAGUGAUGAAGGCCCUAGGGUUGUAAAGCUCUUUCACCGGUGAAGAUAAUGACGGUAACCGGAGAAGAAGCCCCGGCUAACUUCGUGCCAGCCGCCGCGGUAAAAC